GAAGAAGAUGGUGCAUUUUUUGAUACUAAUGAUUUUCUGUCUGCUGAAUCUCUUAGAAGUGCUUCUUAUCGCAGUAGAGAGGGUAUUGGAAAUGCUUGUAGCUCAUUAACUUCUGAGAAUGUGACCAUUACUGGUCAUACAAGGGAGGAGAUGGAAGUAAAGACAAUCAGUUAUCCCUAUAUCAAAAGAAGGGAUAAUCUACCAGAACCAAAGGAAAAAGAUAAGCCGG
rnacentral:misc_RNA from 1 species